ACGCCUCCUCAUCCACACCGUUUAAAAAGCUUCCCAAGCCAGGCAACAACUGAGCUGAGCGUCUGGACCUGAACCGCCCUGCAGGGAAAGGCAACGGAAGCUCUUGCUAGGGUAGCAACUAUGAGCUCAAAUCCACCGUCCCCCUCCCCGACUUCAGGACUCCAGGUUGUGGUUCGAACCCGCCUUUGGCAGCUCCUUCAAACGGGAACCAGCCCCAUCACUUUGUAACGUUCGGCGUUGGCGCAGGGGUCUGCAGCUUCCGCCUGCCCGAAACUUGGUGCUGGCUGACCCUGAAGGCGGCCCUGUGAGAGGGAGGCAAGAGAGCGAGCUGAUCCGGGCACCGCACAGGCGGAGGCCGAGACUCUGUCAGGAGUGGAGGAAGAAGGAAAUAGACUUCUCUUCAGGGUACUACAGCCGAGGAGAACAUGAGCAUUGUGAGUCUCUGGAGAGGCUACUGAAUAACUCUGCGGCGAAGCCCACAGAGCUACUGCAGAGGAUGGAUGUUUCCCUCUGAGCAAAGCAGACACGAUCAUCAAAUCUGCUUUGCCAAGUAUUUAUUUGAAUCUUCAUUUCAAGGCUGAGGAAUCAGUAAUUCACCAGAAAAGAGAAAAAGAAUUAAUUAAACUAAAUCUAAGCCAUCUUACAUAACAAAAUACCACGAAAUAGCUUGUAUAAGAACUGCUGGGGUCUUUUCUAGAACUUGUUAAUUUGGUCUUUUGGUGAUCACUACUGGCCAACAAACCUACCUAUUACACCAGCGUAGUAUUUGUACUUUGUAGAGGAAAUUCAGAGAGGGCUGAAGAGAAAAACAGUAGAGUAAGUCCUGCCAACUAAAUAAAAUGGCGCCUGUCACAACAUCAAUUUGUGUAAAAUGGCAAAAGAACAUCUAAUAUACAGGCCUGUCAACGAACGUCUAAAUAACAGGGCUCUUCUCGGCUACGUCUGCGCGUAGGUUUACACUUAAAAUACAUGUGUCUAGGAACUCAGAAGAGUUGAGGGUUGAGUUGGAGCUGCCAUUGAUGUUUCUCACAUUUGAGCUCCAGUUCAUGACACACUAAUCGUGCACUUAUUACAAGUGCUGCCUUCGCAUCACCCCUGACAGGACAGAAAAGAGAGGCAUACAUCCUGCUUUGUGGGCCACCUAUAAUUAUGGGUUUGCAUCAAAAGCAAAGAAAAGUCAUGUCAUUGGUCUCAUUUAGAAGCACAACAGGCUCAAAGCCUUUGAGAGUGAAAAGUGUGGCACAGCGUGGGAGAGGAUUUCUGUACAGAAAAUUAUCAAAGCCAUGAUUGUAACAUUUCUAUUCCCAAAUCCGUAUGAGCUCCUCUGAAAAAAAGAACAUGAUGUAGCUAGACCUCCAGGAAAGUUGGUGAUAUCUGUGCCACCGUAGGCUUGUAGAGUUCACUUAGCCUAACAGACGGAAAGAUGCUAAAGUUUGGAAGAAUAAUACUAGCCCAGUGCUGGAAUAGUGUCCAUCUCAUGCCAGACAUGGGACAAAUUGGAUCAAACUGAAAGAAGAUACAGGGAGUCAACACAUCUUCCCUCUCAAGAGAAGGAUGUAGUGUUGUGGGAAGUAAAGCGAAUCCUGGAAAUCUCAUUGGUUGAAGUUUCCAGAUCUGUAAGGAUGAGGGUUAGAGGCAUAGGCAGGUUUGGGAAAACAUCACACAGUCCUUUACUUUCUUCUCCCGCUCUCUUAACAUAAAACCUUUUUUAAGGGCAAUGCCAUAGGAUGGUUUAUCUCAGUUUUACAUCAUUCUUUAUGAUGGAUCUUCCAGCUGUUUCCUUUUGAGAAACUUUAAGCUAAUCACAUUGCAACGUUCAAGAGAUUUCCCUGCUUGGAUGUUUGUAUUUCUUGCCUUCGUUUUCAUUCUUACAUUCAUUUUGGUUUCCUUAAACCAUUCUAAAUAAUCUCCCUCCCUUAGGUUAGGGGUUUAACGAUGUGGUAAAAUAAUUGUAGACCCACUUGAAUUAUCACUGAGAGAAUGACAGUACACAAGUCUGUAACACACACACACACACACACACACACACACACUCUGGUUCCCUGCCAUGUCCAAGUGGCAGUUUUUAUCUGUUGGGUCUGCUAGGAUUGUCAACCCUCUACCUCCUUUCAAAUGAGUGAAUGCAGCAAAAACUCCCUCGCACGUUUCCAGGAGAGGCUCCCACACUCUUGCAUCGUUGCGUCACUCCUAUCUUCUCUGCUGCAUGCACUCCUGAACAUGACAGCGUCUUUCUCCACAGAAUAAACACAUGGGCAGCAAAGGUACUAAGAAGAGCUUUAUAAGCAGGGGGAGACUGCAUCGAGACUAAUCGUCUUUUGGAGAGCCAUUUUCGGAAAGUAAUGCCACCACCUUUUACUGCUGAAUAAGCUCAGAGAACUUGAGUGGGACUGAAACAGGCUGGUGGCUGAAGUCAAUAUUUCUUUAGAGCUAGGCUUUUCUUUCUAGAACUGCUGCUUCAUGCUCCCGUUUUGAUGAAAUACAAAGGUG
ensembl:lncRNA